UCACUGAUAAAAUGUCACCUUUAGUUUCGGGUGUUUUGCGGUGAAUAAGGGCACGAUAGAUCUCUAAAAGAACUCUUUAAAUAACGUUUUCGGAUGAAAUUGUACUCAUUCCGCGACUCAUCGCGUGCCACAGUCUGUCUGUCGUUGGUGUGAGUCUGACAUCGCGCUAGUGCUAUCAGUCACUAUUGCGUGCCAACGCGCUUUAAAAACUCUUUCGUGCGGAGCGGAUACCUUUAAUUCGGCAGGAAUGGGUGAGAAGAGCAGACUGAGUAGAGAUAGCUGUUUGUUAUGCACCUGUGGAGAAACAGACUUGUAUGAGACUCUGUGUUUGGGAAGAGAGGGGUGAUGGUGAUGCUCUGGACCUGUGAGAAAUUAUACGCAACGCAUCUCAUAUUUAAGGCAAUGCAGUGACAGCUUCAGAAAAAAACAAACAAACCAGACAGUGAAUGGUGACUGAGGCUGUCAGUCCCUAAGAUUCUGCCUAACAUCUCCUUUGCUGUUCUACAGAAGAAGGAAAGUCAUACAGGUUUGGAACAACAUGAUGAUCAAAUGGCACAAGAUAACGGAGCAGCAUUUCAAGAAAACACGACGACAGACCACUAGACCAUUGCGGAAGCAGGCAGCGCAUAGAUGUCGCUGUCACAUGGCACCUGUUACUUUUGGCAGCGCUGUUCAGAAUGGACCAAUCACAAUCAAGUGUUACUUGAGGAUAAAAAAUGUAUUUUAUAGAUACUGCUGUGGUGGAUUUAACAAAUGAGAGUCUAAGAGUCAAAAUCGAGAAUGCAAAGCAAGCCCUGAACGAGUCUUUUGAUACAGUCUUUCAGAGAGGAGCAACGGCACAUUUGAGGACCAAGAGGAUUUUCAGGAUCAAGAAUUGUUCUACCGCUUCAGUGACUGUCAUGAGAUGGUGUUGAAGUAUUUAGGUGAAAAUACUGCUGGGCUUACUUCAAUGAGAGUAUGAGUAUACUUGGAGAGGAGAACUGAUGUAAUAUGGAGAUGGUGGUAAGGUAAGCAAGAACUUAACAUAAUGCUUUACUUAAAAUGAACCUCUACUAACAGCUGUUGGGCCAUUUUGCAGGAGCAAAUUUGCAUUGUAAACCCUCUAGUAUUAAGUCAACAAAAUUACAAUCAAAAUUAAUAUGAACAUGAAUCAAACAUGAACAUUGAUUUCUUCAUUCUUUCUUGCAAUCAGAUUAUCCAGCUAAGAGAGCUAGCUAUUUUCAAAAAAUAUUGUCACAUUUUUAUGUGCAUUUUGAUGUUGCUUUUUUUUUUUAAAAAAAAGGGCUGAUUUUAGAAUUGGAGUUUGGGUUUGGUGCAUUACUUUUGUUUGCAUGAAUGCAUAACUACAAAAGUAACAUUUAUUAUCUAUACUCAUGAAUUUCUGUGCAUUAAUAUUUGUACCUAAGUGCUUUUGAGAAAUGAGAUAAGGCUGUUUAGAUACAUGGUAAACACACUGUGACGAGGAGGAGGGCAUGGCCGGGCGUGAGGGGGCCUGCCUGGCGCUGAGUAGCCCAAUCAGCAGGAGAGAGAUGAGAGGAGGAGCCGGGGAUGCCAGAGAGAGAGAGCGAGAGAGACACACAGAACUGUGUGUGUCGUUGGCGUCUGUUAUUAUGUUCCAGUUCAGUUUGAUGUUAUGUUAUAAUUAAAGUCUUGUUGAGGGUUGAUCCGGUUCCCGCCUCCUCCUUUCCCGAACCCCGUUACACUGGUGCCGAAUCCCGGGAAUGGAGGAAGACGCACCAUCAGAGAGCCCUCGCUGCUGAUGGAGGAUCGUGACGCUGAGGAGGUAUGAUACUGGAGCGGUUCGCCCGAAGGCGGAGGAGCCCACUGCCAUCCGCCAGGAGAUGAAGGAGCCGCUGCCGUCCACCAGGGGACAGGGGAGCUCGCCGCCAUCCGCCGGGAGGUAGAGCAGCCGCUGGCAUCUGCCGGGAGGUGGGGGAGCUCACUGCCGUCUGCCAGGAGGCGAGAUCCAGUGCCAUCGCCCGGCGACUGCUUCCCAGCUGGCCGAGGACCGAAUGGCAGAGUGGUUGGGAACUAGAAUUUUUUAUCUUUUCUCUCUCUCUCUCUCUCUCUCUCUCUCUCUCUGUCUCUCCCGCCCUCUUUUCCUCUCCCCUCCCUUCGUCCUACCCAGGUACCAGGAAGCGGGGAAAACCAGCCGGCAAGGACAUGGCCAAAGGGGCAACUCCUCCCCUCCGGUGGGGGGGGAGUAAGUCGGUCCGGAGCUUUACCUGGCCUGAAUCGGGCGUUGGGGGUAUGUGACGAGGAGGAGGGCAUGGCCGGGCCAUGAGGGUGCACGCCUGGUGUUGAUUAGCCCAAUCAGUGGGAGAGAGAUAAGAGGAGGAGCCGGGGAUGCCAGAGAGAGAGAGAGAGAGAGAGAGAGAGCGAGAGAGAUAGAGACACACAGAGCUGUGUAUUUGUGUCGUCAACAUCUGUUAUUAUGUUCCAGUUCAUUUUGAUGUUAUAAUUAAAGUCUUGUUGAGUGUUGAUCCGAUUCCCGCCUCCUCCUUUCCUGAACCCCGUUGCACACACAAAGGAAAUGUUUGAAGAAACAAUGGAAGGAUGUUUGGGAAAGAGCCAAGAGAGGUCUACUGGUCCAUUCAAAAAUGAGGGCCAUUUCUCUUUUCUGCAUUAAGAAAUAAUGUUGAUAAGAAACUUUUAGUGUGUGUGAUAUUAUAAUCCAAUGUGUUUGUUUCUGUCACACAACUCGCUUUGGGGUGAAUACACAAAAAAAAAAAAAAAAGUUCCAACAUUUUAGCGUGCAUUAUUUAAGCAUAAAACACAUCCAAUUUACAAACUUAAAACCUGCACUAUGUUUGCAGAUACAGUCCUGCAUCAGUCUGCAUUUAAAGUAAUUGUCAUUUAUUCCAGUGCCAACACACCUCUGUUUUAUGUAAAGGCUCAUUACAGAAUGUGGGAGAUUCACAAAAGUAAGCACUAUUGCCAUCUAUGGAAAGCAGGAGGUAAUUUCAAAUGUAUUUAAAGGUUUGCAGGUUUCCUAAACUAAAAUAAAAAAUGAAUACACAGUAUAUCACAUAUUAAAUAAAUCACUGUAAAAUCUAAUUAGCUGACAGUGAGUUACUGCCUUAAAUUGUUUUUACUAAUUUGCCUCAAGUAAAGUGCAUUGAGAGUUGCAUGUUGAUGUAAUGGUAAUAUAGUCAAAAAACUAUUAAGACAUAAUAAGACAAACAAAAAAAACAAAAACAAAUCUGAAGUCAACAGAUUAGUUUAAUUUGAUUUAGCUGUUAGUAUUUGCAAUGAAGGAUAGGAACUGUAAGGAAUUUAAUCAUUCUGGUUCCAAUUCUGAUUCCCCUUAACGAAUCCGGUUCCUUAACGGUUCCAUUCGCCAUUCUUUUGGUAUUAUUAGGAAGAAAUAUUUGUAAUCAUUGUAUUUUGGGCCUACAGCCCUCAGCAGUCUGUUACCAAAUGAUGAUCAUUUCAUAUUUUAAUAUAACAGAAUCUUGCAGAAGGUGUGUUUACACAGACUUUUAAAUUAAGAUAUUUCAUUCAUCCAUUUUUUUUUAAUUUAUUUAUUUUUUUUUUACAUAAUAUCAAUAAUUACAAGAAAACACAUUAUGUGUAAUUAACUAUGCAUUGUUAUUAGAGUAAUUGAGCUGUUCAGCCGUGACAUCAAUUUGUAGGCAAAGCUAGAGGGCUAAUUUGUCUUGGAUUCCAUCUGGAUUUUCCUUUGGGUUUUAGGAUAGGGAUUUUUAAAUUAUGUGUAAAAUUAGAUCUGUGGUGAAAAUUACUUGAAGAGACUUUCAUGUUUUGUUCUAGAAUGUAAAUUACGCACAGGCAUACCUCAACUGUGGAUUUUGAAGUCGUUGUGUCUUUUAAAAAUGUAUGUUGCUAACCCGUCGCUAAAAAGGGACUACAACAGACGUACCUUUCAUAAAGCACAUAGCUAAAAUGUUCAUGGUAGUUGUAGUUUCAGAAUUUGCAUUGUGAUAGCAAUAUGCCUUAUCAAAAAACACAGUAGCUUCAAAGUUAACGUUUGAGAUAUGACUGUGUGUAAUUUAUGUUCUAAAACAUGUUGCAAAUACAUCUGUUAGACGUCUAAGGUCAUCUGAUCAGAUAUUAUUGAUGGCUCAUAAGUCUAGACUGAAGUCGAAGGGUGACCGUGCUUUUGCCAUUUCCGGCCCUAAACUGUGGAAUAGUUUACCAAUAUCCAUUAGAGAAAUUUAGACAAAAUCAGAAUUUAAAUCAAAGUUAAAAACGUUUCUUUUUGCACAGGCUUACGAUUGUCCUUAGAGUCCAAAGGUGUAAACUUAUA